GCGGGAAUAGCUCAAUUGGUAGAGCACAACCUUGCCAAGGUUGGGGUCGCGAGUUCGAAUCUCGUUUCCCGCUCCA
rnacentral:tRNA from 1 species